rnacentral:rRNA from 1 species
AGCGAACGCUGGCGGCAGGCCUAACACAUGCAAGUCGGACGAAGUCUUCGGACUUAGUGACGGACGGGUGAGUAACACGUGGGAACGUACCUUUUGGUUCGGAACAACUCAGGGAAACUUGAGCUAAUACCGGAUGAGCCCUUAGGGGGAAAGAUUUAUCGCCGAAAGAGCGGCCCGCGUUAGAUUAGCUAGUUGGUGAGGUAAAGGCUCACCAAGGCUACGAUCUAUAGCUGGUCUGAGAGGAUGAUCAGCCACACUGGGACUGAGACACGGCCCAGACUCCUACGGGAGGCCGCAGUGGGGAAUCUUGCGCAAUGGGCGAAAGCCUGACGCAGCCAUGCCGCGUGAAUGAUGAAGGUCUUAGGAUUGUAAAAUUCUUUUACCAGGGACGAUAAUGACGGUACCUGGAGAAAAAGCCCCGGCUAACUUCGUGCCAGCCGCCGCAGUAAUAC